rnacentral:rRNA from 1 species
GAACGCUAGCGGCAGGCUUAACACAUGCAAGUCGAGGGGCAGCAUGAGACGGAGAUUCGUCGAAGUCUUGAUGGCGACCGGCGCAAGGGUGCGUAACGCGUGAGCAACUUGCCCGUUUCUGGGGAAUAACCGGUGGAAACGCCGACUAAUACCCCAUAGUAUCAGAUUUAGGCAUCUUUAUCUGAUUAAAGAAUUUCGGAAACGGAUAGGCUCGCGUGACAUUAGCUAGAUGGCGGGGUAACGGCCCACCAUGGCUACGAUGUCUAGGGGUUCUGAGAGGAAGGUCCCCCCACACUGGAACUGAGACACGGUCCAGACUCCUACGGGAGGCAGCAGUGAGGAAUAUUGGUCAAUGGUCUGACGACUGAACCAGCCAUGCCGCGUGAAGGUCACGGCCCUAUGGGUCUUAAACUUCUUUUGUAAGGGAGCAAUAAGCUUUACGUGUAGAGUGAUGAGAGUACCUUACGAAUAAGCAUCGGCUAACUCCGUG